AAAAAAAAAAAGCUCAUGUGUUUAUUUAAAUAAACUCUCUAAGACUGAUAAUACUAUAAUAAAUUUGUAUCUAUGUACGUAUGCUUGUAUAUUAUAUACCUGCUUGUCUAUGUCUCACUAUAGCAGGAACCACUCAGGUUUGAAUUUCUAGCUCCUAGGAAAAUAUCUGACACAUGGUAAAUAAGCAAUAAACAUUUGUUGGAUGAAAAAAUGCUACCAUUUUAUUCCACAGGGCAAAUGACUAUCCCCAUAAUGGAACUAGAUCGAGAAUGAUUAUCUAAUGAUUCCUACAUACCAUCUCUGCUACUCUCCAGCUUGGUAGCCUCCUCCACCCAAUAUAUGGCUAGACAGAAAGGACCUGGAUAACCAUGGAAAAAGAAUGUUCCUAAAGGGAUUCUUAACACCAACUUUUUAUUCCACCAAGUUGGACAACCAAGAUUUGGCAGCCUCUGCAUAUACGCUUACAUAGCUGAUGUAGUGGCAAUAAGUGUUUCUAGAAAUGAGAGUUAGGAAAAUUUAUCGUCAGAGGUUAAGGUUGCCAGAAUUGCCAGCUACAAUAUUUCAAAGAUAACCAUAAGCAUCUGAAAGACUAAAUUAUUAUGGCUAGCUUCAUUCCUUCAGAUACCCUCUCCAAUGCCUAUUCUCUUUUCUUCAUUAAGCAUCCUAGUUCUUUUUUAAUUCCUCCAGCAUCGAAGCAGUAAACUUUGAUCUGAGGAGCCCCAAAAAUCUGACCCUAGGGUAUAUAUAAGAAGUCAUUUAUCCUGUGCCUAGCACACAGGAAACACUCCAAGCAAAGCAGCUGACUCAACAGCAAAGACUUACAGACAAUACAAAAUCAUGGCUUAGAGAUAGAAGGCAGCUUAAAGUUUAUCUUGUUCAAACCUUUUCAAUUCAAAGAUAAGGAAAUUGAGGCUCAGAGAAGUGAUUUGUCAAAGGUUGCCUAAGUUAGAAUUCAAGCCCAGGACUCCCAAUUCCUAAGUCAGCCUAUUUUCAUUAUAAAAAGCUGUCUUCAACUAAUGGUAACUUUUUAUUCCAAUGUUUUCCUUUGGGAUGCUCUAAGUUUCAUAUAUUGUCUUACUAAAACAUGUCAUGUAGCCCCUACAAUUAACAUGCUCAAACUAUUCAUAAGAAAAAGAAAUUAGCGAGACCCUGGGUCAGCAAAUAAUGUACAACCUGGGGGUAAUCUAAUGCAGAGUGCAGAAACUGUAGUGUAUCUGAUAGUGCAAGCACAUCACAGGUGUGUAGAGAUACUGCUUCCAUUCACUCUCUGGAUGCUGAACAAGGCUGAGGCAGAACUCCUAGGCUGGUAUCUGCUACCAGCUGCCUUGUCCAUUUACCUUGGUGGGUGAUAAAAAUAUUAUCAUUUUCUAUGUAAGCUAUGAUGUGAGAAAGACUGGAAGCACUGUACUAAUACUAAUGUCCUCGAAUAUUACAUGAUACAACACAUGAAUGCUAUUCACAGCAUGGUCAAGGGAGUUCAUGAAAUCAGAGAAUCUUUGAGCUAUAUAUGCACUGACUUGGAUUUAAGGAUGAUGAAGAUGAUUUGGAUAUGCUUAUCACCUAAUUUUUGUUUAUUCCUCUCUCUUCCCCCGAAUUGUUUAAAAACAAAACAAAAAAAGGAACAAAUUUUGGCUGAAGAUGAAGAUGAUUUGGAUAUGCUUAUCGUCUAAUUUCUGUUUAUUCCUCUCUUCCCCCUGAAUUGUUUCAAAAAUACAAAAAAAAAGGAAGAAAUUUUGGCCAUAUGAUCCAAAUAAUUCAACAUCUGAGUAUUAUAUUUUCUCCUGUCCUUCCACUAUCAUCUUAAAUACUGAGAAAGGGAGUAAAUAUCUAACUUUCAUGAACGGUAUGUUCUCUAAAUACAGGAACUGUGCUGCUCUUCUACAGUGCUGAGGCAAUGCUGGGCUUGGAUCUGCCUGGGCCUUACUAGCUGAAACAAGGGACAACAAAUGGAUGGACUGAGACAAAAGAAAUGCAUUUAAGUACGUGUUGAAUGGCCUAAGACCAGAAACGGGUACUGGAGAUACUGCAGUGAAAAUAAGAGAUGAAGCUCUUGUCUCCUGGAGCUUUCUCCUAAAGUAGAGGAAGACAGAUAAAAACCAACAUAUAAAAGAUCACGGAUGUGCAACAAGAUGAAGUGAAUCUGGAGAACAAGUGAACUAGGAAUGAAGCUGGAAAAAGGAAGAAGUGCAAAAAGUCUGAAGAGAGGAAAAGGUUUAAACAAUCAUUAAGUACCAUGGGAGAAUGGGUACACUAGGGAAUGUUUUAGGAUUGCUUGGCAGUGCCAAGGGUAUUUGAGAUUCUUAUUGAAGAAAGUAAGAUUAGUCCACUUGAUUAUCUUUUUCUCUAGUUGUGUUCUGUUACUGGGGAAUAGACAUAAUAUAGUUUUGAAAUGAGCAAAUAAUUAGAUCUAACCAGGAUUGGGGUUUUACUAGGGCAGGCAUUGGUGCAGUGUGAGUUUUCAAAUUUUUAAUGAAGAGGGUCUGUGGUCAAAACAAAUUUCGGAGGCUAAGGAUGAAAAAGCACUAAGUACUACUAAUACUGAUGAUCUAAAAGAUACUUGAAAAUCUUCCUAACCUGUCCACGGAACAGUUGUAAAAAGCCACUACAUAUUAAUGUCACCAAGAAAAUUCUAAUAAAUUCCUUAUGCUAAUAUAUCUAACAAUCUAACUACUAUGCAACAAAACAACUAAAAUACCUAAUAAAGGAAGAAACAUAUAAAACACCCAGACAUUUGGAAAAUAUAUAUCUAUAUAUUUUA